UACGUAGGGGGGCAAGCGUUGUCCGGAUUUAUUGGGCGUAAAAGGCUUGUAGGUGGCCACGCCAAGUCGGAUGUGAAAUCUCCCGGCUCAACUGGGAGGGGUCAUUCGAUACUGGCGGGCUCGAGGCCGGUAGGGGGAAGUGGAAUUCCCGGUGUAGUGGUGGAAUGCGUAGAUAUCGGGAGGAACACCAGUGGCGAAGGCGGCUUCCUGGACCGGUUCUGACACUGAGGAGCGAAAGCGUGGGGAGCGAUCCGG
rnacentral:rRNA from 1 species